rnacentral:lncRNA from 1 species
CGUAGGGUAUCUCCUGAGGUAUGGACAGAGUUCACGUCAUGCCGAACCACCUCGUGAUGAUGAACUCCGCUAACGCCAAGGAAUGGCUGUGUUUUUCAAACUAAAAAUAUGUUUGCGUGUAUACGAACUUUUUAACAGCCUUGGUGGACUCGGUUAGAUGCCUCGGCCAAGGUAUCCCCGAGAAUAAUUUUGACAGGAGCCAAGUUUUUUUUUUAAAUACUCAUAAGUCAUGUUGACUAUUUAAAUGAAAUGAAUACUUAUGUUAUGAAAAACUUAUUUGGAUGAAAUGUUUUAAUAGUCUCCUUUUACUCGGACUUUAAAUCUUUUGAAUGAUGUUUGUUUACUCACUGGGAUUAUAAAAUCUCACCACUCUCCUUUCUACCCAUUUCAGGUUCAGAUUAGGCUGUAGAUAGCUGAGUUCAUCGAGGACUACCCUUGGAUUUGCAUUCCUUCAAACUGUAGGUUUACAGUCCUCUUUAUUUUUGGUUAUUUGGGAGUCCACUGGUCAUUGUAAAUUAAAUUAAAUACUCUAGUUUACUGUAUUACAAUAUGUAUAAAUUUAUUUUGCUUUUGCGCUACAAAAAUUAACUACGUAUAACUCUGA